rnacentral:rRNA from 1 species
AACCUUUGCAAUGUGCGAAAGCACGACAAGGUUAAUCCGAGUGAUUUCUGCUAAAGGAAUCUUUUGUUAGUCGUAGAACCACUAGUGAAUAAGGGGUGGGCAAGUUCUGGUGUCAGCCGCCGCGGUAAAACCAGCACCUCAAGUGGUCAGGAGGAUUAUUGGGCCUAAAGCAUCCGUAGCCGGCUGCAUAAGUUUUCGGUUAAAUCUAUGCGCUUAACGUAUAGGCCGCCGAAAAUACUGUGCAGCUAGGGAGUGGGAGAGGUACACGGUACUCGAUAGGAAGGGGUAAAAUCCUUUGAUCUAUUGAUGACCACCUGUGGCGAAGGCGGUGUACCAGAACACGUUCGACGGUGAGGGAUGAAAGCUGGGGGAGCAAACCGG